GUCGAGAAGCGGGGGUGCCGGUCCGUGCCGGCUGAGAGAGUCCCUUCGAACCUGAUCCGGUUAGCACCGGUGUAGGGAGCUUCGCCGAGCGGCCU
rnacentral:ncRNA from 2 species